ACUAUCUCUUUUAAUUAUAAACUUUGUUGUUGUUGUAACAGAUUAUGGGGUUUAUAAGAGUUUCUUAGCCUAUAAAACCAACUCAUCUGCAGAGAGAGACCAGCUACAGACCAGCUACAACAACCUGACUACUGAGAGAGGCCAGCUACAGACCAGCUACAACAACCUGACUACUGAGAGAGACCAGCUACAGACCAGUUACAACAACCUGGCUAAACAGAUAGAACAGCUACAGACUGAGAGAGAUUUUCUUAGGGGGUGGCUUACCAAUUGCAAACAAACCUGUCCUGCUGGCUGGCAGAAGUUUGAAUCCAGCUGGUACUUCCUGUCUACUGAGACUAAAACCUGGAAGGAGAGCAGAGAGGAUUGUCUGGAGAGAGGAGCAGACCUGGUGAUCAUAAACAGUGAUAAGGAACAGAAAUUUCUCUUUGACCUCAAGAGGAGAGUCUGGAUUGGUCUGACCGAUUCUGUUAAUGAGGGGACCUGGAAAUGGGUGGACGGCACCCCACUGACCACAGGGUGAGAGAUGAUAACUAAUCUGUCAA